UUUUGCUUUUCAUAUUCUUCCUUUUCACUUCCUUUGGAGACUGCAACUUCAGAACAAUUGAGGGAAGAGCCCUUCUCAAAUGGAAGAACACCCUUGAAUUCAAUACUGAUGUUGGAUCUUCAUUCUUGGUCUAUUGCUAAUCUUGACAACAUUUGCGGAAUUGAACGGGUAUCACUUGCAACAAUGUGGAGAGGUUUAUAAGAUAAAGCUGGACAAUUUCAGUCUCUCAGAAGGAGAGAGAGAGAGAUGAAGGCUUCAAGACUUAGCGAGAAUGGCGAAAAUGGAGAAAAUUGACGGAUGACGACAAUGAGCAGGAAGAACAAUCAACGGUUACAGCUUGCUAGAUUUCAAUAUGAAGCUUCAAAGCUCAAUAACUUAAGUCCCGGAUUCUUCCCUCGUAACACUUCCUCCCAAGUACAAUUUCAUCAAGAGAUUGAAACAUGAAGUGAAAGUAUAUUGGGAUUUAGAUGGCAACUUUAGCAAAAUACUUUGGAGUUGGACAGCAGAAACACUACCUACAGGAGUUUGGAUGAAUAUGGAAGUCCUCAAGCAUUGCACGACAGUAAUGUUUUUGGACUUGAGCCUCCUGGGUAUGGGUAUGAACCGUAUGAUGAAUAACGAAUGCCGUGGGGCCUAACAUUAUGACAAGAAGCAGCACUGCAAUGAAAGCCAGCCAGCUUAAUUAUGUAUGCUGUAGAAGUUUGGAUCAUGGAGAUGUCUGUCUGAUUUCUUGAAUUUCACCCAGAAUUCAGUGAAAGAAAAAUGGCAUACUUGUUGGUCAGUUACAAAAAGAAGAAGUUGAGAUGCAGAGAAGAAUGAAUUGAAGAAGCAAGUAGAUCAGCAGCAACAACAAAUUUAAAACUUCCCAGCUGGGAUAUUAUCAUCAGCGAGCUGUUCCUUACACUAAGCUAGCUAGGCAAAUUAAAGGCCACAUUUCAUUCAUCAUCAUCAUCAUCCACUUCUUGGAGAUGGAAUCAAUGAUACAUCUAUCUGUUCUUCAUCAACUUUAAUUUUAGGCUACCUGCAGAUUGAUAUAAAACUACUUUUAGCUAUGCAUGGAAUUUAAUUGAUAUAUAGAUUGAUAUGGUUUUGAACCA